rnacentral:rRNA from 1 species
UGGGGAAUUUUGGACAAUGGGGGAAACCCUGAUCCAGCCAUCCCGCGUGUGCGAUGAAGGCCUUCGGGUUGUAAAGCACUUUUGGCAGGAAAGAAACGUCGCGGGUUAAUACCCCGCGGAACUGACGGUACCUGCAGAAUAAGCACCGGCUAACUACGUGCCAGCAGCCGCGGUAAUACGUAGGGUGCAAGCGUUAAUCGGAAUUACUGGGCGUAAAGCGUGCGCAGGCGGUUCGGAAAGAAAGAUGUGAAAUCCCAGAGCUUAACUUUGGAACUGCAUUUUUAACUACCGGGCUAGAGUGUGUCAGAGGGAGGUGGAAUUCCGCGUGUAGCAGUGAAAUGCGUAGAUAUGCGGAGGAACACCGAUGGCGAAGGCAGCCUCCUGGGAUAACACUGACGCUCAUGCACGAAAGCGUGGGGAGCAAACAGGAUUAGAUACCCUGGUAGUCCACGCCCUAAACGAUGUCAACUAGCUGUUGGGGUCUUCGGACCUUGGUAGCGCAGCUAACGCGUGAAGCUGACCGCCUGGGGAGUACGGUCGCAAGAUUAAAACUCAAAGG